UGCUCUGUUACUCUCUUGUAGUGUUUCAUGUAUUGUUGCAGGUGCUUCUAUCGCUUCGUGUACACAAGGCUUCCUGUGUACGCGGUGGAUCUGUUGGCGAGCCCGAGGAAUCCUCGACCCCGGGGCGUGACAGAUAUUCUUCCCAAAAGUUCUAUAUUGUUGAAAAAUCUAAUUCUGCCGAAUUUUCUUUGUUGAUAUUAUUCUCAAAAGUCCCGUAUUGUUGAAAAUCUAGUUGUUGUUGAAAUAUGUCGUAAAAGGAAUGUGGAGUAAGUAGACUGUGAAUCAUUCACUAUCACAUAAAAACGGCAAAUUAUUCGUUGGCUUAAUUUCUUUCUAUCCCCGCCACCUCACGUUCCAAUUAAGUUUGUAAGUUAAUAAUAUAAUGAAUGUGGUAGAGUAAUCUUGAAAACGGUGAAUGGUUUACUAGUUUAUGAAUGACGGUGAAUAAUUUACUUCUUUAAUUAAAAAUUUAGAAGAUGGUGAAUAAUUUAUCGUCUUUUUAAAUACAGUGCAAUUUUAUUUACUAUGGCAUUGAGUUGAUCGAUAAGAAGAGAA
rnacentral:lncRNA from 1 species